rnacentral:rRNA from 1 species
UACGAGUGCCUCAAGCGUUAUCCGGAAUCAUGGGGCGUAAAGGUUGUGUAGGUGGUUGUAUUAGUCUCUUGUUAAAUUCUUCGGCUUAACCGGGGGCAUGCAAGGGAAACGGUACGACUAGAGGAUGCGAGGGGUCUGCGGAACUCAUAGUGUAGCGGUAAAAUGCGUUGAUAUUAUGGGGAACACCAAAAGCGAAGGCAGCAGACUGGAGCACUCCUGACACUGAAACAAGAAAGCGUGGGUCGCGAAUGGG